UGCGCCAUGGCUAUGACUAAUGUCAGAUUGCUUGCUGGUAUUUUAAGAAAGCCAGAUGCCUGGAUUGGACUCUGGGGUGUGCUCCGACGGACACCUUCUUCACAUAAACCCUGUACUUCUUGAAAUCAAUACUUGUAUUUUUCAAGUACUGAGUUAAAUGCAUCAAAUUAUAAAACAUUUUUCCGUAAUAUUUUCUCACUGAGACUGCCAGGACUUUUAAUAUCUCCAGAAUAUGUUUUUUCCAUUUUCCGUAAGACUCAAAGGUAAUAUAACUCUAAAAAAAUCCACUAAAACGUCUCCACAAAAAGUCGAAGAUGAAGAGGACUCUGAUGCAGAGGAGGAUGACAAUGAAAUGAGUGAGAUGGAAGAGGAGCUUGAGGAUGACCCUAGUGUGGUCAAAGAGUAUAAAGACUUGGAAAAAGGAGUGCCAUCUUUUCGGUAUGAUGUUAUCCUGAAGACGGGCCUAGAUGUUGGGAGAAACAAAGUGGAAGAAGCAUUCUACAAAGGUGAACUGAGGCUGAAUGGGGAAAAAUUAUGGAAGAAAAGCAGAACGGUGAAAAUGGGAGAUACAUUGGAUCUUCUCAUUGGAGACAGUAAAGAAGCAGAAGCAGAGACAGUGAUGCAGAUUCUCCUGAAAAAAGUGUUUGAAGAGAAGACUCAAAGUGAAAAAUACAGAGUGGUGUUACGACGGUGGAAGAAUUUAAAGUUGCCUAAGAAGAGUGUGUCUAAAUAAGUGGAUUGCUUUUUAGUGAUAAAGCUGCUUUCUAGUGGCGGUGGUGGGGGCAACUUAAAAAGAGGACAUUUUUAUUAAAAUAAAGUUCUCUUACCAUUUGUGGAA